GAGAAUAAGAACCAAAUAUUUAUUACUUAAAAUAAAAAUCAAAUGACAGAAUCCAUCAUAAGAUUUAUCUCCCUAAGGUAUUUAAAAAAUUAGUUCAUGCUUAAAAAUAAAAAACAUCUAAGAUACAAUAUAACCGAAAUUAAUAAAUAAACUCAUGAUGACUUCCUAAGAAAUAAAAUGAGAAUCUUCAAUCUUGACAAAAAUUUGCUUCAGAAUCGGCUUCAAUAGUAUUUUUGAGUUGUUUUCUUGAAUAUUCUUUAACGGCCCACUCAUAUCUUUUUAUUUUUAUCAUAUAUAUGUCUUAGAUGCCCGAAAGACUUAAAAAUCGUGAUUUUCUACACUUCGAUGCAUAAUUUCGUGAAAUCGACACGACUUACCACAUGCCUGCAUCGGUUACAUGGCUGUCGAAUGGUUGAAUAACAAUUGAAGUUAUAAAGUAACCUCGGUUGAGGGUGUUGGAUAGGCUGGUUGGGACUAAUUGAAGCUGGUCAGAAUUUAAGAGUUUGUGAGCUUUGAAAUUGAG
rnacentral:lncRNA from 1 species